rnacentral:rRNA from 1 species
AGGGAAUCUUCCGCAAUGGACGAAAGUCUGACGGAGCAACGCCGCGUGAGUGAUGAAGGUUUUCGGAUCGUAAAGCUCUGUUGCCAGGGAAGAACGUCCGUUAGAGUAACUGCUAACGGAGUGACGGUACCUGAGAAGAAAGCCCCGGCUAACUACGUGCCAGCAGCCGCGGUAAUACGUAGGGGGCGAGCGUUGUCCGGAAUUAUUGGGCGUAAAGCGCGCGCAGGCGGCUGUUUAAGUCUGGUGUGUAACCCGGGGGCUAAACCCCGGGUCGCACUGGAAACUGGGCAGCUUGAGUGCAGAAGAGGAGAGUGGAAUUCCACGUGUAGCGGUGAAAUGCGUAGAGAUGUGGAGGAACACCAGUGGCGAAGGCGACUCUCUGGGCUGUAACUGACGCUGAGGCGCGAAAGCGUGGGGAGCAAAC